GAUUUCUGGCAAACCGGGGCGGCCCGUGCUCUUAAUGGGUGCUGUGUGCCGUGUCGUGUUUGUCAUCCUUCCAGAGAGCUACGUCUACCAUUUACUUGGCCGGACGUACGUGAUCUGGAUCGAUUACUUUGAAAAAAUUAGAGUGUUUAAAGCAGGCUUAUGCUGUGAAUACAUUAGCAUGGAAUAAUAAUUUAGGACUUUGGUUCUAUUUUGUUGGUUUCUAGAACUCGAGUAAUGAUUGAUAGGGAUAGUUGGGGGUGCUAGUAUUCAGUGGCCAGAGGUGAAAUUCUUGGAUUCACUGAAGACUAACUUAUGCGAAAGCAUU
rnacentral:rRNA from 1 species